rnacentral:rRNA from 1 species
GACGAACGCUGGCGGCGUGCUUAACACAUGCAAGUCGAACGAAGAGCGAUGGAAGCUUGCUUCUAUCAAUCUUAGUGGCGAACGGGUGAGUAACGCGUAAUCAACCUGCCCUUCAGAGGGGGACAACAGUUGGAAACGACUGCUAAUACCGCAUACGAUCUGACCUUGGCAUCGAGGAUGGAUGAAAGGUGGCCUCUAUUUAUAAGCUAUCACUGAAGGAGGGGAUUGCGUCUGAUUAGCUAGUUGGAGGGGUAACGGCCCACCAAGGCGAUGAUCAGUAGCCGGUCUGAGAGGAUGAACGGCCACAUUGGGACUGAGACACGGCCCAGACUCCUACGGGAGGCAGCAGUGGGGAAUCUUCCGCAAUGGACGAAAGUCUGACGGAGCAACGCCGCGUGAGUGAUGACGGCCUUCGGGUUGUAAAGCUCUGUUAAUCGGGACGAAAGGCCUUCUUGCGAAUAGUUAGAAGG